UGAGGAACAUGACCUUCGGCGGGGGAUAGCCGGCCCAACGGCCGGGUAAUACCGCGUACGACCUUUCGGGGACAUCCCUAGGUGGUGAAAGCAGCAAUGCGCCGAUGGAGUGCCUCGCGGCCUAUCAGCUAGUUGGUGAGGUAAUGGCUCACCAAGGCGACGACGGGUAGCCGGCCUGAGAGGGCGACCGGCCACACUGGGACUGAGAUACGGCCCAGACUCCUACGGGAGCAG
rnacentral:rRNA from 1 species